AGGAAUUUUCCGCAAUGGGCGAAAGCCUGACGGAGCAACGCCGCGUGGGGGAGGACGCUUUUCGGAGUGUAAACCUCUUUUUUUGGGGACGACGACCGACGGUACCCGAGGAAGAAGGACCGGCUAACUACGUGCCAGCAGCCGCGGUAAUACGUAGGGUCCGAGCGUUGUCCGGAGUUACUGGGCGUAAAGCGCGCGCAGGCGGAGUGUCAAGUCUGGCGUGAAAGCCCCCGGCUCAACCGGGGAGGGUCGUCGGAGACUGGCAGUCUUGAGGGCGGUAGGGGCUGGUGGAAUUCCCGGUGUAGUGGUGAAAUGCGUAGAGAUCGGGAGGAACACCUGUGGCGAAGGCGGCCAGCUGGGUCGACCCUGACGCUGAGGCGCGAAGGCGUGGGGAGCGAA
rnacentral:rRNA from 1 species